AGUGAACGCUGGCGGUAGGCCUAACGCAUGCAAGUCGAACGGCAGCACAGUAAGAGCUUGCUCUUACGGGUGGCGAGUGGCGGACGGGUGAGGAAUACAUCGGAAUCUACUUUUUCGUGGGGGAUAACGUAGGGAAACUUACGCUAAUACCGCAUACGGCCUACGGGUGAAAGCAGGGGAUCUUCGGACCUUGCGCGAUUGAAUGAGCCGAUGUCGGAUUAGCUAGUUGGCGGGGUAAAGGCCCACCAAGGCGACGAUCCGUAGCUGGUCUGAGAGGAUGAUCAGCCACACUGGAACUGAGACACGGUCCAGACUCCUACGGGAGGCAGCAGUGGGGAAUAUUGGACAAUGGGCGCAAGCCUGAUCCAGCCAUACCGCGUGGGUGAAGAAGGCCUUCGGGUUGUAAAGCCCUUUUGUUGGGAAAGAAAAGCAGCAGGUUAAUACCCCGCUGUUCUGACGGUACCCAAAGAAUAAGCACCGGCUAACUUCGUG
rnacentral:rRNA from 1 species